UGCCUAUGGUGAACUGCUUUAAUUUCUGAGACCUCAGAUGAAAACUGCAUGUGAAGUCUGACUCAUUCAUAGGUGCAGCUC
rnacentral:snoRNA from 1 species